UCGGUGUNAGAUGGACCCGCGUCUGAUUAGCUAGUUGGUGGGGUAACGGCCUACCAAGGCGACGAUCAGUAGCCGGCCUGAGAGGGUGAACGGCCACAUUGGGACUGAGACACGGCCCAAACUCCUCGGGAGGCAGCAUG
rnacentral:rRNA from 1 species